GACAGAGGGUGCAAACGUUGUUCGGAUUUACUGGGCGUAAAGCGCGUGUAGGCGGCUUGGCAAGUCGGAUGUGAAAGCCCCACGGCUCAACCGUGGAAGCGCAUCCGAAACGGCCUCGCUCGAGUCUCGGAGAGGAAGGUGGAAUGCUUGGUGUAGAGGUGAAAUUCGUAGAUAUCAAGCAGAACACCUGCGGCGAAGGCGGCCUUCUGGACGAUGACUGACGCUGAGACGCGAAAAGCGUGGGGAGCAAACAGG
rnacentral:rRNA from 1 species